UACAGAGGUCUCAAGCGUUGUUCGGAUUCAUUGGGCGUAAAGGGUGCGUAGGCGGCGCGGCAAGUCGGGCGUGAAAUCUCGGAGCUUAACUCCGAAACUGCAUACGAUACUGCCGUGCUUGAGGACUGGAGAGGAGACUGGAAUUUACGGUGUAGCGGUGAAAUGCGUAGAUAUCGUAAGGAAGACCAGUGGCGAAGGCGGGUCUCUGGACAGUUCCUGACGCUGAGGCACGAAGGUCAGGGGAGCAAACGGG
rnacentral:rRNA from 1 species